rnacentral:lncRNA from 1 species
UGAAUUACUCAUCCGUCUUGUAUGGUGAUGCUGGACCAAAGAAAAGGAAGAAACGAAAAGGGAGAAGCUGACAUUGGAUAGCCAGAGUAUGGAGAAAGAGGUGGUUGGUGGAGCCGCCGCCUCCGUAUGAGCGCCUUGAGAUCCGCACCAGGCUCCUCCAUGACAAAAAAAUUCUGCCAACGAGAUGGGGCGAGUUGGAACUCAAUCGGGAG